ACGACCAUACCCACUGAAAUAUACGGCAUCCCGUCCGCUCCCCCUAGUUAAAACAGUGAGGGCUUGUUUGAUGCUUUUGGUGAGUCUGGAGCAAUUGGGAACCGGGCGCCUGCUAGCCA